rnacentral:rRNA from 1 species
UCGCAGAUCAGAAUGCUGCGGUGAAUGCGUUCCCGGGUCUUGUACACACCGCCCGUCACACCACGGGAGUUGGAGACGCCCGAAGCCGAUUAUCUAACCUUUUGGAAGAAGUCGUCGAAGGUGGAAUUAAUAACUGGGGUGAAGUCGUAACAAGGUAGCCGUAUCGGAAGGUGCGGCUGGAUCACCUCCUUUCUAAGGAGA